rnacentral:rRNA from 1 species
GACGAACGCUGGCGGCGUGCCUAAUACAUGCAAGUUGAGCGAUGAAGAUUGGUGCUUGCACCAAUUUGAAGAGCAGCGAACGGGUGAGUAACGCGUGGGGAAUCUGCCUUUGAGCGGGGGACAACAUUUGGAAACGAAUGCUAAUACCGCAUAACAACUUUAAACAUAAGUUUUAAGUUUGAAAGAUGCAAUUGCAUCACUCAAAGAUGAUCCCGCGUUGUAUUAGCUAGUUGGUGAGGUAAAGGCUCACCAAGGCGAUGAUACAUAGCCGACCUGAGAGGGUGAUCGGCCACAUUGGGACUGAGACACGGCACAAACUCCUACGGGAGGCAGCAGUAGGGAAUCUUCGGCAAUGGACGAAAGUCUGACCGAGCAACGCCGCGUGAGUGAAGAAGGUUUUCGGAUCGUAAAACUCUGUUGGUAGAGAAGAACGUUGGUGAGAGUGGAAAGCUCAUCAAGUGACGGUAACUACCCAGAAAGGGACGGCUAACUACGUG